CUGCCCCUUUCUGUUUGCUUCUUUGCCCUCCAUCUGAGGGGAUAGGAUCCAAGCUCUACCCAUGGCUCCCAUUUUCUGCCACUCCUGCUCUGACCAGUCAGUGUGCAUAAGGAAAAUGGGUGAACGAAUGAAACAAACAAACAAACAAACAAACAGGGUUCUCUUAGCAAGAGAAGAAGAGGGAGCCGCUGGGUCACCAACCGUCUUGCUCUGCUAUGGAAAGAGCCCCGGUAGUGUCAGCAGUUCUUGUGAAGAAAGAGGACAAAUUUAUCUGAAAUCACCAGAUUGAAUUGAUUACCAGGUGGCAGAAGCUCUCUGUGCUUCCGGUUGCUUCCCCAUGGAGUCUUAGCAUCGGGCAGAGUAUGGGAAUGGAAGCAGCUCACUUCCAGUGUGUUUGGCAGCCUACAGCUUCCAGAAAGUUUGAGUAGCACUUUAAAAAAACAUGAGAAAGUGAGAAGACAUGGGCAGAAGUGUCGCCCGAGUGCUGUGCUGAGGAGUGGGGUCUCAAGCCCUUAGGGUUGUGGGUGUGAAUCCAAGGAGGUGGAGUCUGAAGUCCAAGGAGGACUGUAGGAGACU
ensembl:lincRNA Gm38161 predicted gene, 38161